rnacentral:tRNA from 1 species
GUUUUAAUAGUUUAUAAAAAAUAUUGGUCUUGUAAACCAAAGAAAAAAUUAUCCUUUUAAAACU